CCCUUAGAUGUUCUGGGCUGCACGCGCGCUACACUGAUGCAUUCAACGAGCCUAUCCUUGACCGACAGGUCCGGGUAAUCUUUGAAUCUGCAUCGUGACGGGGAUAGAUUAUUGCAAUUAUUAAUCUUCAACGAGGAAUGCCUAGUAGGCGCAAGUCAUCAGCUUGCGUCGAUUACGUCCCUGCCCUUUGUACACACCGCCCGUCGCUCCUACUGAUUGGGUGUGCUGGUGAAAUGUUCGGAUCGGCCGUUUGUCGCGGUUUCCGCGUCAUGUGGCUGAGAAGUUCAUUAAACCCUCCCACCUAGAGGAAGGAGAAGUCGUAACA
rnacentral:rRNA from 1 species